CCUACGGGAGGCAGCAGUGAGGAAUAUUGGUCAAUGGGCGCGAGCCUGAACCAGCCAAGUCGCGUGAGGGAGGACGGCCCUACGGGUUGUAAACCUCUUUUGCCGGGGAGCAACGUGCGUCACGUGUGGCGCCACUGAGAGUACCCGGAGAAAAAGCAUCGGCUAACUCCGUGCCAGCAGCCGCGGUAAUACGGAGGAUGCGAGCGUUAUCCGGUUUUAUUGGGUUUAAGGGGGGCGUAGGCGGAUCGUUAGGUCAGGGGUAAAAUUGGGGGGCUCAACCCCUUCCCGCCAUUGAAACUGGCGCUCUUGAGUGGAAGAGAAGUAUGCGGAAUGCGUGGUGUAGCGGUGAAAUGCAUAGAUAUCACGCAGAACCCCGAUUGCGAAGGCAGCAUGCCGGCUUCCGACUGACGCUGAAGCACGAAAGCGUGGGGAUCGAACAGGAUUAGAUACCCUUGUAGUC
rnacentral:rRNA from 1 species